AGUGAACGCUGGCGGUAGGCCUAACACAUGCAAGUCGAACGGCAGCACAGUAAGAGCUUGCUCUUACGGGUGGCGAGUGGCGGACGGGUGAGGAAUACAUCGGAAUCUACUUUUUCGUGGGGGAUAACGUAGGGAAACUUACGCUAAUACCGCAUACGACCUACGGGUGAAAGCAGGGGAUCUUCGGACCUUGCGCGAUUGAAUGAGCCGAUGUCGGAUUAGCUAGUUGGCGGGGUAAAGGCCCACCAAGGCGACGAUCCGUAGCUGGUCUGAGAGGAUGAUCAGCCACACUGGAACUGAGACACGGUCCAGACUCCUACGGGAGGCAGCAGUGUGGAAUAUUUGACAAUGGGCGCAAGCCUGAUCCAGCCAUACCGCGUGGGUGAAGAAGGCCUUCGGGUUGUAAAGCUCUUUUGUUGGGAAAGAAAAGCAGCAGGUUAAUACCCCGCUGUUCUGACGGUACCCAAAGAAUAAGCACCGGCUAACUUCGUG
rnacentral:rRNA from 1 species